UACGUAGGGUGCAAGCGUUAAUCGGAAUUACUGGGCGUAAAGCGUGCGCAGGCGGUGAUGUAAGACAGUUGUGAAAUCCCCGGGCUCAACCUGGGAACUGUAUCUGUGACUGCAUCGCUGGAGUGCGGCAGAGGGGGAUGGAAUUCCGCGUGUAGCAGUGAAAUGCGUAGAUAUGCGGAGGAACACCGAUGGCGAAGGCAAUCCCCCUGGGCCUGCACUGACGCUCAUGCACGAAAGCGUGGGGAGCAAACAGGG
rnacentral:rRNA from 1 species